CGUUGAGAAAACAGGUUCGGUUUGGUUUUGGCAAAACAAAAAUAUAAAAAGGAAGUCGCCAUGGAAGACCAAAAACAAUGCAUCAGGUUCUGCUCACACUCACAGCAAGAAGAAGGCCAAUUGCAAUCUUUUCAUUAACCCUCCUCUUGAGCACCGCCAUCUUCAUAGCAUCAGUUUUCUUGCAGUCGAAAAACCCUUCUUCUUCUCAAAAACAGCAAUCCAUGGCUGCUGCUCGUAGUUUUGUACUAUGGCUUCAUGGAUUGGGUGACUCAGGCCCUGCCAAUGAGCCCAUCAAGACCCUCUUCACUUCUCCUGAAUUUCGUACCACCAAAUGGUCUUUCCCUUCUGCUCCUAUUGCUCCUGUCUCCUGCAACUAUGGUGCUAAAAUGCCAUCAUGGUUUGACAUCCAUGAGAUUCCUGUGACAGCUGAUUCUCCAAAAGAUGAAAGUAGUUUGUUGAAAGCUGUUCAGCAUGUGCAUGCAAUGAUAGACAAGGAAAUAGCUGCAGGGACAAAUCCUGAGAAUGUUUUUGUGUGUGGAUUCAGCCAAGGAGGUGCCUUGACCUUGUCCAGUAUUCUGCUGUACCCAAAAACUCUAGGAGGUGGAGCAGUCUUCAGUGGAUGGGUUCCUUUUAAUUCUUCUAUCAUGGAACAGGUUUCACCAGAUGCGAAGAGGACACCUAUUCUGUGGUUACAUGGAAUGGCUGACGCAACAGUAUUGUUUGAAGCUGGACAAGCAGGCCCCCCUUUCCUUGAACAAGCUGGUAUAAGCUGCGAGUUUAAGGCUUAUCCUGGUCUUGGCCAUUCAAUAAGCAACGCAGAGUUGAAAUACCUGGAAUCGUGGAUCAAGACUCGCCUGCCAAGUUCUUCGUAGAGUUUUGGGUACUGUUGAACUUGCAUAAGCUUCAUGUCAUAGCUCUAGGGUUAUUUGGUAGAAUCUAUCACAUUUAGGGGGGGGGGGGGACAAAUAUUCAGAUAUUAUUAUGCACGUUGUGGUAAAAUGAUUCCAGUGUCAAGCAUUCAACUGCUGAAAUAUUUUGAGCAUUGUCAUAUACUGAUGGUGGAUGCUGUAUUUCUACAAACUCUUCUGCCCUCGACAGUUGGGUUGCGAGAUCAUCAAAUAAAAUGGGAUUGACAUGCACCGGAGGCAGGAGGAAAUUGCUAAGAUGGCCACUAUUUAGAGCUUGCGGUUAAACUGUCACAGCUGAAGACUGUGUGGCCUGUGGGACAGCAAAAAGUGAAGGUCUCGUGAAUACAAGUACGAACUCGUGUGCUUAUCUUCCAAGACAUGGCUAUGAAUAAUUUCAUGGAAGCAAAGAUGUGACCCAAUGCUUGUUACAAGGGAAUAAUGCAUAAAUUUUUUUCAACAUUA